rnacentral:rRNA from 1 species
CCUACGGCGGGCUGCAGUGGGGAAUAUUGGACAAUGGGCGAAAGCCUGAUCCAGCCAUGCCGCGUGUGUGAAGAAGGCCUUCGGGUUGUAAAGCACUUUCAGUGGGGAAGAAAGCCUUGGGGCUAAUACCCUCGAGGAAGGACAUCACCCACAGAAGAAGCACCGGCUAACUCCGUGCCAGCAGCCGCGGUAAUACGGAGGGUGCGAGCGUUAAUCGGAAUUACUGGGCGUAAAGCGCGCGUAGGCGGUCUGAUAAGCCGGUUGUGAAAGCCCCGGGCUCAACCUGGGAACGGCAUCCGGAACUGUCAGGCUAGAGUGCAGGAGAGGAAGGUAGAAUUCCCGGUGUAGCGGUGAAAUGCGUAGAGAUCGGGAGGAAUACCAGUGGCGAAGGCGGCCUUCUGGACUGACACUGACGCUGAGGUGCGAAAGCGUGGGUAGCAAACAGGAUUAGAUACCCCUGUAGUC